GACGAACGCUGGCGGCGUGCUUAACACAUGCAAGUCGAGCGGUAAGGCCCUUUCGGGGGUACGACGAGCGGCGAACGGGUGAGUAACACGUGGGUGACCUGCCCUUAGCUCUGGGAUAAGCCUGGGAAACUGGGUCUAAUACCGGAUAUGACUCCAUGACGCAUGUUGUGGGGUGGAAAGCCUUGUGCGGCUAGGGAUGGGCCUGCGGCCUAUCAGCUUGUUGGUGGGGUGAGGCCUACCAAGGCGACGACGGGUAGCCGGCCUGAGAGGGCGACCGGCCACACUGGGACUGAGACACGGCCCAGACUCCUACGGGAGGCAGCAGUGGGGAAUCUUGCGCAAUGGGCGAAAGCCUGACGCAGCGACGCCGCGUGGGGA
rnacentral:rRNA from 1 species